CAAGGAAUAUUGGGCAAUGGGCGCAAGCCUGACCCAGCGACGCCGCGUGGGGGACGAAGGCCUUCGGGUUGUAAACCCCUUUUCUUGGGGACGAAAAUGACGGUACCCGAGGAAGAAGCCCCGGCUAACUACGUGCCAGCAGCCGCGGUAAUACGUAGGGGGCGAGCGUUGUCCGGAAUUACUGGGCGUAAAGAGCACGUAGGCGGCUUGCUAAGAUGGGCGUGAAAUCCCCGGGCUCACCUCGGGGGGGUCGUCCGUGACUGGCAGGCUAGGGUCUGGGAGAGGCGAGUGGAAUUCCCGGUGGAGCGGUGAAAUGCGUAGAGAUCGGGAGGAACACCAGUGGCGAAGGCGACUCGCUGGGCCAGUACCGACGCUGAGGUGCAAAAGCGUGGGGAGCGAACCGGAUUAGAUACCCCCGUAGUCC
rnacentral:rRNA from 1 species